AACGGAUUUGCUGGUUUCGAUUACAAAGGAGCUACUGCAUAUUCUUCUGCUCGAAAACGAGAGUGAACGGCAAUCAGCACUCCGCCGCCCGACAGCUUCGAACUAUUCGUUUGGUUUCUAUCGCAGCGAAACACAUCAAAACAGGACGGGAACAGCAUACUGCUGGGAAUAUUUUCAUCGAGGCAUCUGCUGGGUACGUGAUAAC